UCACCGUUUCCACCCGAAUCAUUCCGUCCCAAGUCCCACCGUCCCCUCGGCUUAUCCCCCCUCCUCCCGGGCCUCCCUCCGCCAAGGCCGCCGGAGCCCGUCGCCGGAGGCAGCUGCAGGGAAGGACGCCGUCGCCGGACACAUGCGGGGUUGGGCUUCCCAGAUAGCUUGUCUCUUGCUGCACUAAGCUCUUCCAAUUUUUAAAAAUGGCAGCUCCCAAGCCCAUUGCUCGGCUUAUUUCCCAUGUCAUUCUUGAUUUAGAUGGUACCCUCUUAAACACAGACUGUGUUGUAAGUCAAGUGCUGAAACCAUUUCUAGU